rnacentral:rRNA from 1 species
UACGUAGGGGGCAAGCGUUGUCCGGAUUUAUUGGGCGUAAAGAGCGUGUAGGCGGCUUUACAGGUCCGUUGAAAAAACUCGAGGCUCAACCUCGAGACGUCGGUGGAAACCGUUUGGCUAGAGUCCGGAAGAGGAGAGUGGAAUUCCCGGUGUAGUGGUGAAAUGCGUAGAUAUCGGGAGGAACACCAGUGGCGAAGGCGACUACCUGGCCUGUUCUUGACGCUGAGGCGCGAAAGCUGGGGGAGCAAACGGG